rnacentral:rRNA from 1 species
AUCUGGGCGGCGGAAUUCAGGAUGGUGGAGCGGGUCUCGCGCUCGUUCGGCCGUUUGAUAUUUCCGUCGCCGUGUCAGACGUCGCGACCUGUUCGUCGUCGGUCCUCGCUCGGAGGAAUCGCGAUCGAGUUCGUUGCGGACGCGUUUCGGCGCGCUCUGUGGCGAAGGCGCGGCUCUCUGGCUGACGACGGACAGUAAGCAACGGUGUCCGGCGUCGUGUCUCGCACUCGACGUCGGUGCCGGUCAGCGACGAUUUCUUCGGGCCUCUUUCCGACCCGUCUUGAAACACGGACCAAGGAGUCUAACAUGCGCGCGAGUCGCGGGGUUUCGAGCGUGCCAUGGUGCGCUCGUCACUUGCGAAACCCGUACGUUGAAGGCGUAAUGAAAGUGAASAGGGAAGAUGGCGUUCCGAGUCCACGUACCGUGAUCGAGUAUCGCGGCCGGACGUCCGCACUCCCGGGGCGUCUCAAUGGUUCGUCGCGGAUGCGGAUGGUCGUCUCUCGGGGCGGCCGUCGGUCUGCGCCGGUCCGA